rnacentral:lncRNA from 1 species
UUACAUGUGUAGUUCCAGUUUUAACAUGUGGCAGCACCUCUGGUUUUUCAGCUAAAAAUCUCGACCGAACGCAGAGAACUAAGGACAUUUCUAACAUUUGUUCUCUCUCUCCUCUUGCUCUCAAGUUUGUACUGCAAUGUGUUUUCUUCCUUUAAUCGUAUUUUCUUGUGGGUAUCCAUUCUACCAUCUCUUGAUUCGUCUUUAUCUGUAUAUCUUGAUUCAUGUUUGUCUAUAUUUGUCUUGAGGAAUAUUUAAGAAAAUUCUUGAACGAAUACCAUUUCUAUUGAAGUUCUCCAGGUGUUUGAGAAAAUUCUUCAAUGAAUUACCAUAAUUUCUUAUGCAUAUUUCUGUCUUCUCUAUUGUUUAUGUGUUUGAAAAAUACUUGAACAAUCAAACUUAUCAUUGAGUUAGCAAGGACGAGGUGACCGCUUCAAUUAUUAAUUGUUUGCUAUGUUUUUCUUCUCGCUUCUACUAUGUUUUUUGCUGGUCAUAUAUAUCAUCAAAUACCUUUGUUUCUUUAUUCGAUCUCUGACCUCUUCAUUUGCUAUCUUUGUUCUCUGUCAAUUAAUUUUUCAAUUAUUAGCUUAUGCACUUUUUCUUUUCUCAGAUGUGCACUGAGGUUGUUUUAGUUAUUUUCUAUCGGUUUAUUUGACGAUAACUGGGGUAUUUGGGGUUUUGACAUAUUUCUCAGAUGCUGAGGGCCUGUGUGUAUUUGAGGCGGAUUCUUUUGCUAUUUUCAUAAUGCAUAGACUGUUUUAGCAUAUUUUUUAAUAAUUAAUUUUUGACUCUAUAAACUAUCAUCUUGGUGGAAAGUUUUUGGAGGGAAGUAUGCUGGGGUCAUUUGGAGACAGUCUUUCAACCCCAGGGUAGGGGUAAGGUCUGCGUACAAACUACCCUUCCCAGACCCCACUAAGUGGGAUUAUACUGCUGGGUGGUUGUUGUUGUUUUUGGUAGGAUGCUAACCUAGAAGCGUGUUAAAAGAUUGCAUUUCCUCUGUGCUUGAGAUAAUUAGAUUCAAAGAGCUAUUUAUAUGAACUCACUAUUAGAUUGAAAUAAUUACUGAUCCAAUAAGUUCAGAAUUGAGUAGUUGAUUUCUUGAUUUGUAUUGAAAGUAUGCCAAAGAGAUGCUAUAAAAUCUGAUGAGUUUUACUACUCAAAACUAUCCAAUUGGCCGGACAACUUCCAGAUCUUCUUUAACCUUUUCGUCAUUUUCUUGCAACUAUUAUGAAUGUACUAAUAAUUGACAUCAUAUAUAUUUGAUAGAUAGUAAGUGAACCAGUUUAUAAGAAAUUAGAUCUUUCACUGUUGUUUUUGUUUGUUGAUUCGAUCUACUUUUUAAUUCAUUUUUCCCUGUUAAAAUAAAACUCCUUUUUAUCGACCACUCCUUUCUUGUUUCAUAGUUUUACUUUUACCACAAAUUUCCACGGCUACUUGUAUUGUUUUCUAUUGUGUCUUGCAGUUGAUAAGUCCUUCCAUGUUGCCUCGAAAAGUAUAGCAGUGGUAGCAUAUAUGACACUCCAAAAGGGUGCUUUUACUAGCAAAUCAAGCAAAGGAAUUGGACUAAGCACAUGUUUUCUGUUACAGUCAUUUUCACUCUUCACCGUGCUUUCAUGUGCCAUUUCUUUUCUGAAAUCAUGUGUGGAAGAGUCUCCUAAAUAUGACACUUCCACUUUUGCAAAUGAGCUAAGGGACAUAUUGAGCAACUUGUGCUUUUUAUUUUUUUGUGUUUGCUCUUUUUCUACUUAGUUUAACAUCUAUUGCUAUCCUUUCUGUUCGCACAACUUUAAUGUUCACAGAUUGAAAUGCUUGGUCAAUAUUAGAAGAAUUUGUAGACAACACUUUUUACUUUCUCCUAUGUGGCUACGUUAUUUUAGCAAUUGUGAAAUUUGAAGAGUUGAAGCUAUUAAGGUAGACAAGGAGUGUCGGUUUAGAUUAUUGGAAGAAUGCAACGUUCAAGUUGAGCUUGUAGCUUGAGACAGGUUAAGGCUUCUAUAUGUUCUAUAAAAUGCUUGAAAAAAUUCUGCUAAUUUAACAUUCAGUUAUAUUUGAUAUAGUCUUAAAUGAGAAUGUGAUAGUAGUACUAACUACUAAAUGUAAUUUUUUUUUCUAGCAUUAGUUGUGUAAUAUUCUUUCCAGUCAUAAGCAAUUACAUUUUUUUAUGCUCAUAUUCAGUUCAAACUCAUUUACCAGCGGGAUCAAUUCAGUUUUACUCAGUAUCUACCUUUUACUGCUUUCUUCAUCCUUAGUUUUUCUAUUUUUACAUCUGCUCUACUUACGUUAUUCUCAAAAUAUAGUGUACACCUGGUUAGUCAAUUUCUUCUUAGGCAUAAUAUUCUAACUAUACAUUAAAGUGAUACUCUUCUAGAUCUUAAACAUGCAAAUUCAGUGUUCCAGAGAGCUACUUUUAUGAGUUUUGUGCUUUAAAUUCUGUUGAUCAUGUGUAAAAGUCUUAUGUACUUGGGCUAUGUGAAUCAGAUGAGAGGAUAAAGGCAACUUAGAGUGGUUCAUUUGACUGUUGAUUUCUAUUUUAUCUUUCUUAGUUUUUUUCCAUAACUGAUAUAUAACAUCUCUGAUCUUUCACCUAAAUGCAGCUGUUACAACUCUUACCAAAGAGGAUAUAACGAGGGAUAAGGUAUGUAUCUUUAUCAGCAAGGCAUAAUGGUGUCAUCAACUUUUCCAUGUUGGUCUGGUAGAUCUUUCUAACCGACUAUAUUUUCGAUUCGUCAUGGACUAAUUGGCAUGUAUAUUGCUUGAAAAAAAUAUUUCACUUGUUGGAUUUAUACUAUUUUACAUUAUAUCUAAGAUCAUGCAAAAAAACUUUCUGACAAAUUUUUAUCCUUGCAAGGCAAUUGGAUUACAGUAUAGUCUCUUUGGAAUUCAUGGAAUUAUUUGAUGCUUGACACAGGUUAUUUUGCUAAAACUAUUUGGAGGUAUUAUACAAGCCCUGCAGAACUCUUCUAUAUAACCUUUUGUCAAUAUGAUUAUUUUAGUGUUCAGCUAUGCCUAGAGUGCAAAAUACGGUUGAGCUGAUUAUGAGACUUGCAGCUAAUGUGCUUCAUGGUCUACAAGUGUUUUAAUCACAAAUCGAUUCCUAAAUUAUAGUUUAUUUUAUUAUUUAGUGACGUCGUGUUGUUAUAUGGUUUCCGCAUAUUAUGACAUCUUGAUCCUUAGCAACCUUUCCUAUGUGUUGGAUUCACUUGCACUUAAUGUUAAGUGACUGUUUUUUUGGUCUGCAAAAUAGUUGUCUCUGAUGUUCUUAUCAUUCUAUAGUUGGAUUACCUAAUGUCUGAUAAUAAUUGUAGGGUUCAAUUACGCACAGUAGACAGUUGGACUACCUAAUGUCAGCAAAGCCCGGGAAGAUCAACAAACCAUUCUGCUCCUCAUGCUAACAUAAGAAGGAGAAACAAUAGUUCAGUCCUUUUGACAAGUAGAUAUCUCUAUAUAUCUUUUUCCAGUUUUGCCUGAAGGCAUUACCAGGAAAUUAUAUUUGAGCAACUUCACUUGAUAUGCAAUUCAUAUUCCUUGGUAUAAAAUGUGUUUGUGCAAGUAUUUUUCUCUUUUGAGAAGAGACGAAAAACCAGUAGUUGGAACAAGCUUUGGUUGGGCCCGGGCUAACCUUACUAGUAACCUUUACAAAUCUGGAGAAUAAACUAUGUAAUGAAAAUCAAAAUGUGGGUCAAGGCUAGACUUAUGUUGGAAGAUGAUACUCCCAUCCUCGACUAUUAAAGUAAAGGAUGACGGUUUGUAUCUGUAAAUGCAAUGAGCAAAACUCAAACUCAAAUUCCUGUAGAGUUAAUUUUACAAUAUGAUUUACUUAAAUAAAAAAGAACCCUCUAGGCUCUAGCUCUGGUAUAGAUAUUGCACUUGGUAAGUAAGAAGAAACUUUGUUUUAUAGAUAAGGUAGGGCAUUCUUACUUUGCUCGUGUAAAAUUGGUACAGUAUAUUGCUCAAGAAUAGCAC